GUUUGAGAAGGGAAGAGGGAGAGGAAAAGGGAAAGUGUCCCUCUCCGGCUCCUCCGCGGUUUCGUACAAUCGCGACGGACACGGAGGGAAACAGAUGGGAGCGAGAGCUGGUAGCGAGCGGUUUCGAAAGAAAACCAAAUUAAAAAGACAACAGCAACGACGGACUAUUUAAAAUGAGGGAAAGGAAAGGAAACAGAUGGGAGGACUGACACAAUGCGCACGAGCGCCACCGCUCCCCGGGGCGCGGGGGAAUCGGGGAAACGGGGCGAGGUCGGAGGUCGUCUCGUGGUGUUAACCUCUCGGGUCACGGUGACCAAACGCAUCAACGCAACCUCUUUGCUGCCCCCGAGAUGGUACAACGCAACUGCGAACCCAACCAGCUGCUGGAAGGUCGGCCAGCAGCGCUAACGCCUUCCUCCGGGCUCGGCGCUCACCAGGUGAGGAUGGAGGGAGAGCCCGGUUCCCACAGGACAGGGAGGCACACGUGGUUACAGGGAAGCCCUGGUCCUUAUCUCCACCUGGCAUCAGCUGUGCAGAGGCCCUUGGCAGGGACCCCCCCAUCCCCACCCAGGAUGAAGACACAGAAGGAAAAUGGAUGCUUUGUACACAGGUAAAUAUAUUCAUUAAAGACAAUUUCAUCUAUAAAUAUUAUUGUGCAUGACUCGGAUUAAUACUAAUGUUUCAGGUUACGUUCAGUGUGGGACUAUUAACAGCAGAAGUCAUAGUGUGCAAAUACAUAGACCCUUUCUGUGCAAAUAGAGCUGUCAUAAUGACACUAACUACUUGAUUUCCUGCUAUUUUCUACGAUUUGAUUUAUUGCAGAAAGGUGCUGGUUGCCUUUUGGCUCAACCCAAGCAGCGGAGGAGACAGCGAGCAUCAGAGAGCAUUUUACAGGGCUCCUCGGCCAUUACGCGAGACCCCCGUAAGUGCGGCUCGCCGGAGACCGGGCCUGACCCCGAUGACCGCUGCGGUGAAGACUCCAGCUCCGUCUGGGCCAGGUGCCGCGCAUUAGCCCCCACCCCCACCCAGAAGUUAUGUAACCCGGUCCCAGUACCUUGCCCCCUCCCUGCACUUCAGGAAAGAGUCAAUUAUUUAUCGUGCAGCUUGUAUUCUUUCAUCUCUGCUGUAAUUGCUGCAGUGGACUUUGUGCAGGAACCAGCUUGCACCACGCUACUUUCUAAGCUUUUACCAGCUUUUUCAAACCCGAUGGCUGUUGCUGGGAGGGAGAUGGUUGACUGCGGAUCCUCUGCUCUAAACACCAUAAGCAGUGGCAUGCUUUCCUUCCGCUUUCCUUCCUUCACUGUCCUGGGAAAAAAGACCAACGGCUGUCAGAUGCUCCACCUGCCUCUGCCUCCCACACACGCUGGGGCAUAUGGGGGGGAGAACUGAGGAUCGGCAUGACCCCUAUUGACCUCCGAGGUCACUCAGAGGGGUUAGCUUGGGUGUCAUCUCCCCGAGUGGUUAUAGAGGGUACAGCGUUGUAUGAAAACACAGAUACACCCAUCUAAGAUCUCUCACACAUAGCAAACACACAUGCCAACAUCAUUCUGCAGCUCUGCAUUAUUAUUAUUAUUAUUAUUAUUAUUAUUGUUGGAUGCCUUGGUACCUAGAAUACUAGGUAUUUAGAACACAAAAAUGUUUGUGCAAAGCGUCCAAGGUGAACACACACACUUUCUGAACCGCUUGUCCCAUACGGGGUCACGGGGAACCGGAGCCUAACCCGGCAACACAGGGCAUAAGGCCAGAGGGUGAGGGGUCACACCCAGGACGGGACGCCAGUCCAUCACAAGGCACCUCCAGCAGGACUCGAACCCCAGACCCACCGGAGAGCAAGACCCGGGCCAACCCACCGCACCACCGUGCCACCGCACCACCGUGCCCCCCUCCAAGGUGAACAUAGAAAGAAAAUCCAAUGAGCAAAACUCAGUUUGUUCCUCCUCAUGCCAGUAGCUGUAUAGUAAGUCAGUUCUCUGCUUGGAAAAUAUCUGCCAG
rnacentral:lncRNA from 1 species